UAAAAAUACCAAACCACCUACAAAAGUUCGUUAGCCAACACUUUGUGUUGGCGGUAAUUUCAAACUCAUCCGCCAAGCAGCUAAUUGAAAGCACAGGCAUUAUUUUUAGACGUACGUUCGCUAAAUCCGCCCUGCGCCGAUUAGUGCUGCACUCAAUUUCACAUAAUUAGACGGACUUACAUCAUUGACCAAGUCGCGACGGCGCCAGUGCGCAAGUUCAUGUUUCAUUUAAAUUGCUUUUCAAAAUAGCUGCCCGCCGCACUUGAUUAUUUGCAUAAGUCACAUGAAGCGGAAUCGUGAAAUGGCCAAAUUUAUUUUUAAAGAAUCUUUGUUAUUAUUGGGGGAGUGCAGGGGAAUUACCGAUGAUAGAGCGCAGCUUUUUUUGCAAUUACCAGAACACACAGUGACUAAUACACUGGCGGAGGUAGCUUCGAAAAGCUUGGUGGUAUUUUAUUUUUUACGUCUUAGCCGCCGCCGUAGCUUCUAAAUUUAAAUUUCACGGUCAAGGUCGUCGAUUGGCGUCGCUAUCGGAGAACUCGCUGUGUUGUGUUGCCGAGGGGGUGGUGGUGUUGGUGGGUUGGGGUGGGGCAAUGGCAGCGAACACAGCCCCCCAAAACGCAGUACAGUUGCUGGCGGAGACACAAAAGAAAUCGUAUCUGGCAGAUACUUUGUAUAUUCCGGCGAAACCCAAUAGCACAAGAUGCGAUAAAGGGUAUCAGUGCCAUUUAAUUGCGAUGUGUGGGGCUAUCUGCGACCACUUAUCGCCGCACGGAAUCUGAUUGGGUUCAAGGCUGUCAUGGCCAAACAAAUCCGGUGCCUUUUGAAUGUUUCUAUUUGCCUGUUUUGCCUGCAGCCCAGCCAUUCAAGGUCGUUCGGGUUUUGUUUCAAUAUAUUCGUAUUUUCUGUCUUUUUUAUUUUUCAAAGCUGUAUUUUUGUGUGCUUUUGUUAUGGCAAAUAAAUGCAAAUAAAUAUAAUUUGUUUAAGCGUUCAUUUUUACUUGUUGCCCAGCAGCGCUCGCCUGAAAUAAUUUAAUUGCUGUGACAUAAAAGCCAGCCCCAGUUGCUCAAACAUUUGGCUGGAGUAUGGAUACUCGAUUUGUGUGCCAGCUUUAUUUUCUGAUUUUCUCCCCCCUCGUUUCAUUCAGCCGCGGAAUCGAUGUCAGUGGGUUUCCAUGUCUCCGGCGCCGGCGCAACAUUUUCAGCCUCAAAUCAGUUUUCACUUUCGCGCAGCAACUUUCACGAAACUCUGUGCCCCACUCGCCGACUGCCCCUUCUGCCCCUCGUGCCCCUUGUGGCCAAAAGGCGGACUCAAAAGGCUGACUUCGGGGUCAAUAGUUUGUGCUAGAUUUAUUAAAAUUUGUGCUUUUUAAAUACUCAUAAAAUUGGUUAAAUGCGCAGCGAUGUAAUUAGAUUUUGACGAAGAAAUUAUUUACUGCAUUCCAGCAUUUCCCAUUUCGUUGCAGCUUUCGCUAGAUGUAAAUAAUUGCAUUUUUAACUGCUGCACUUUGCAGUUUAGUUGUCUUUUGUGUUGAAAGUGGCACAAGAGCGUUUGGCAAAAAGUUGCCAAUUUGAAUUAUCGCCUUUCUUGUUAUUAGAAGUAAUAAAGAUCUUCGAAAAUCCCCUUUUGUUCGCAUUUUAUAUUUCAGGAUCACUAGAAGAGUCGAUUUGUCCACUUACAGCUGUCCGUUUGGCUGUCCGUAUGAACGUAAAGAUGUAGGAAACUGAAAACUAGGAAGCUGGAACGUAUUGAAUUUCUUGUCGAUUUUAUUAAUAUAUUUCUUGUUAAGUUCUAUCGAGAUUUCAGAAGAAUUCGGAAGUACUUCCCUCCCAGUUUGAGGAACUAGCGGGUAUCAGAUAGUCGUAUUACCUCGUGUUUUUCUUUGUGGACUUAAGAUCGAUAGUAAUUUUUUCAGUUCAUAGGAAAACUCAUAACAAGACACCAUCCAGCCAACUCAAUCGACCGACUGCCCACGCACAUUUGGCCUUGAGUCAUGCUUUGAUUUGACCUUGCCCGUCUAUUAGGAGGUACAAUUUCUUGUUUGCCAUUCGAGACGCUUGAUAAACUGCUUGAUAAAUUUUCAUUUUUCGCUGGCUGUGUGUGUGCUGGCUGCGACUAAAAUGCCACACAACGCAUGCUAAAAAGUUCUACCGAAAUUAAUUAUUUCGCACUUAAUUAUUCAGCGCGAGCAGCUCAGAGACGCGGCGACCUUGAGCAGCCUCCCCUCCACUCCCCGCCUCCCAAACCGCCCCCUCACCACCCCGCCCACUCGCGAACGGCGGCUACUCGUUUCUGGUUGCGAUCAAAUAACGACUGCCAAGCAAAAAAGGCAGAGCCAAAAUUUGAUCAUACUUGGACAUCCACUGCUGAACGGAUAACAACAUUGUAGCGAUUGAGUGACAGUUGCGAUCUUUGAAAAUAGUUUCUGUCUCGGGAUGGGAGCGCUGAAAUAGAAACACCAUGAGCUUAAUGCGCAAUUGGCUAAAAGGUGCUGACUGCAGCAAAUAAUAUUAAAUAUUUUAUAUUUAAUAUUUAAGCAUCAUAGCAAAGUGAUGAGCGAAGCACAGUUGGGAAAGUAAAAGAUCAUAGUCGAGUAUAAUCCGAAUUUCAUCUGGAUGAGCUGUGAAAAUACCAAGUGACGUUUUGUACAAUUUAUAAAUUGAAUAUCCUGCAGCAAUCAGAUUUCGAUACAACUGAGAAAUGAAUUAAAUACAUUUUGUGUCGAAGAUGUCAACGAUUUAAUUAGAAUUCUUAGGAACGUCAAUUCGAAUUCAAACCAUUUAUUUGCUUGAUGGAUGAAAUAUGUCUGUCACCCUCGUAUUUAGAUAUUUGUAUGGAUAAAUGUACAUAAGAAGAUAUUCCAUUCACUUGACUUUUAUAAAGGUAUUCCAUUCCCUUGACUUGCAAAUUGUAAAGUAGUAAUCUAUUCCUCAGAAAAUAUCCCAGUUGCGAUCUACGUUUUAGUCGGAACGGAUUACGCAUUUCAGCCCUGUGAAUCCCGUUGCAGUACAACGCUGGCGAAUUACCUAAGCACCAUUUCCCAUUAACUUUUUAAUGGUAUUUUCGCUGUACUUUUAUUUGUUGUGAAUUUCACACUUGCAGAAUGCAAGCUCAUUUCGUGUCAUAAUAUGUACACCUAGAUAUCCACCUGCCAGCAAAACUCUUUUCCCCUCGAAGCUUGUGUUUUAUUUUAAUUUUUUUUGUUUUUGUGUUGUUCUAAGGCAGAAUGCUCAGGUCGACCUUGAGCAAUUAUUGUAUAUUAAUACGGUUGCUAUACGAGUAUACGAGUAUAUGGUUUUUAUGGCUUUUUGUCGGAAUCGCUUCGUUCCUGUUUCUCGGCCACUUGUUCCAUUUCUAUUUUCCAUGUUCGAUUUUACGCGCGCGUCCAGAAGUCGUUCAUCAUUCGAACUCUGAAUUAGAAACUAUUUAUUGUAUUAAUCAAUUUGAGGUGCACACGUGUCGUUGUUUGUGCGAGAGGUCUAAUAAAUGUCGAAAUGAAAACAAACAUAUAUAUGCUCGAUCUUAAAUCGAUUAAUUGGAGCAUUAAGUGCUGAACAACGAUUUCCAGCGGAAAAGCGGAAAAUCCUUGAAGCCACAUAAGCACAAUUUCAUCGUAACAAACUUAAUAUGUAAAUAAAAUAAAAUGAAAUGAAAUGGAACGAAAGCAACAAUUACAGGAAGGUCUCUGAAAUAGCGUAUAAUUCCGUUUGAGAUAACAAUCACAAUAAAAAUAUUUUUAGUAUCCUACCCCAGUGUUUAAGUGAAACUAGUUCAAGUGCAAAUAAAUAAUGACCCACAACUAUUUCCGAGAAAAAUGUUAUAGUUUUUUUUGUAUUUUUAGAUUUGUGGAUUCUGUAUUUGUAGUAUUCUUACGAACUUUUCAAACGACUAAAAAUAAAAUAAUAAUUUGUGUUUAACA